UACGUAGGGUCCGAGCGUUGUCCGGAAUUAUUGGGCGUAAAGGGCUCGUAGGCGGUUUGUCGCGUCGGGAGUGAAAACACGGGGCUUAACCCCGUGCCUGCUUCCGAUACGGGCAGACUAGAGGUAUGCAGGGGAGAACGGAAUUCCUGGUGUAGCGGUGAAAUGCGCAGAUAUCAGGAGGAACACCGGUGGCGAAGGCGGUUCUCUGGGCAUUACCUGACGCUGAGACGCGAAAGCGUGGGGAGCGAACAGG
rnacentral:rRNA from 1 species